UACGAGGGGGGCAAGCGUUGUUCGGAAUUACUGGGCGUAAAGGGCGCGUAGGCUGUGCUGUAAGUCAGGCGUGAAAUCCCCGGGCUCAACCUGGGAAUUGCGCAUGAUACUGCGGCGCUUGAAGACGGGAGAGGAUGGCGGAAUUCCCAGUGUAGAGGUGAAGUUCGUAGAUAUUGGGAAGAACACCGGUGGCGAAGGCGGCUCACUGGCCAGUUUCUGACGCUGCAGCGCGAAAGCGUGGGGAUCAAACAGG
rnacentral:rRNA from 1 species